CUGGGAUAACCCUGGGAAACUGGGGAUAAUACCGGAUAGGCAAUUUUUCCUGGAAUGGUUUUUUGUUUAAAUGUUUUUUCGCCUAAGGAUGGGUCUGCGGCCGAUUAGGUAGUUGGUUAGGUAACGGCUUACCAAGCCAUUGAUCGGUACGGGUUGUGAGAGCAAGAGCCCGGAGAUGGAACCUGAGACAAGGUUCCAGGCCCUACGGGGUGCAGCAGGCGCGAAACCUCCGCAAUGUGAGAAAUCGCGACGGGGGGAUCCCAAGUGCCAUUCUUAACGGGAUGGCUUUUCAUUAGUGUAAAGAGCUUUUGGAAUAAGGGCUGGGCAAGACCGGUGCCAGCCGCCGCGGUAACACCGGCAGCUCUAGUGGUAGCAGUUUUUAUUGGGCCUAAAGCGUCCGUAGCCGGUUUAAUAAGUCUCUGGUGAAAUCCUGUAGCUUAACUGUGGGAAUUGCUGGAGAUACUAUUAGACUUGAGACCGGGAGAGGUUAGAGGUACUCCCAGGGUAGAGGUGAAAUUCUGUAAUCCUGGGAGGACCGCCUGUUGCGAAGGCGUCUAACUGGAACGGUUCUGACGGUGAGGGACGAAAGUUAGGGGCGCGAACCGGAUUAGAUACCCGGGUAGUCCUAACUGUAAACGAUGCGGACUUGGUGUUGGGGUGGCUUUGAGCUGCUCCAGUGCCGAAGGGAAGCUGUUAAGUCCGCCGCCUGGGAAGUACGGUCGCAAGACUGAAACUUAA
rnacentral:rRNA from 1 species